ensembl:lncRNA
GCGUUCGUAUUAAACCAAAAUGUUUCUUAACUACUUCAACAUGUCACGUUGAGAAAAGAGCCCUUUGGUGUAAGCUAAGUUAAAUUCUAAUUAAUACUUAAAGGUAUAUUAUGCCCCACGUAUUGGGUUUAAUAUAUGUGAACCGCUUAGUGUUUUGGGGCAGCGGUAGAUGAAGGUGACAUUUAUAUCUGUUUUACAUACAAAUAGAUACAAAAAAGCCUUAUUGUCUGAGUGAGGAUACAUUUGCAGCGGAGAUGUGUGAUGUUUUCACCCCCUCUGCUGGUGGAGGUUGUAAAGUGACUGAAGUGUUGCCUUUGUCUCAACACUCUGAAGACCACCAAGUAUCAGCGACAGUUUUAUUUAUUUAGUGCGGGAAGUAAGAACAAUGCAUGCAGUUAUUAAGACGGUCUUGAAGUAGAAUUUUGAAGUUGACAAUAUGCUAUUUACUUUUAUAAUAGUUCACUACAUCCAUGGUAGAAAAACAUUAUAGAAGUUCAUACAUGGGAAAUGAUCAUUUUCUCCUUUUGAGAGCACGUUACGACUUUGACUCUACAAAGGCAAAUAUACUUAAAGUAGGAGACCCAGGGCCAAGCCUUCUGAGCUUCACCUCAUUUCAGAUUUAUUCACUACUCGUAUCUAUUGGAUAAUUUAAACAACGCACAGUAAUGAUAGAACGUCUUGUCUUAGUUUCAUAUAAAGCCCUAUCCAGGAUAAAGGCCUAUAACCACGCCAGGUGGAAAAGUAGAAUUAUUCAUCCAAGUAAACAGUUAUAUAAAGCUUGUACAUAGAUUAGAUGAAAUAAAUGGUACUAAUCUCCUUUUUCUAAAACAGCCAGCAGGCAAUUAGUUAUUGAUGAAACCCUGUGAGAACGGACCGAUUGGAUCUGAUGGAGUUUCAACAAAGCUCUCGUUGGUUUGUUUGGGAAUAACAGAGAGACACAAAUCAGACGCUUGAAUCCGCUCCUCGAUGCAACAUUUCAUCCCCUGGAAUGUCUUGUGAAUAAUACGCGGCCCCGCAGUCUUUCCACCGCCGCUCUUUUCACAAAUGGAAGACAAAUAUAUUCGUUGGCCGGCCGCCGUGCUUCACUGCGAGGUUCUUUUGAUUAGUAAUAUACAGAGCUAAUUAGCUUAAGACAGUGAUAUAGUUUCUCUGCCGGACCCCUGCCCCGUCCCGUCCGCGCCCCCCCCCCUUCGCGUCGGCUCAGAUUUCCCAGGUGCCUCUCUGUCUGUCCGAGGUAACAAAGUAAUGGUCUCCAUUUGGAAGACUGUUUUUCAAACGUGUUUUUUCUUGAAGUGAUUUUUAAAAGAUUACGAUUAGAGAUAUCGGUGCCCUCGAGGGACUCGUUGACCCCGAAUGGGCCUUCUGCUGCAUUAUGCAUGCCGACUCACAUGAAAGAUCAACAGUGAAAGACAAUCCUGUUAUUUCCUGUGACAUCCGGACCUCAGGAAGGAAUAAGAUUCUAAUUAUUUGUCACGUUCUGUAUCAAACCUUCCUCCAGCUCUCUGCUUCAGAGGAAGUCUUUGUUUCCUUCUGCGUGAGAAAAAUGCUCCAGAAAACAAACCAGGAGACGUCUCUUCUCCCCGUGUUUGUUUGAUGGUCUAAUUCAAACUAAAACAGAUCUCCUUGUGCGUACACAUCAGCCAACCACUGAGUGACUACUUCACGCUCUCACAGGCCGUGCUCACAAUGAAUCCCCGUUAAUCAGCCACCUGAGCAGACUCCUGGAAUCAGUGGAAAUCGAAGCUUCGCACGGCUUGGUUACGUUGAUGAGAAAUCGCCGAACUUCUUCCUGUUCCCAGUGUCGCUUUGUAACUUGAGUCUGUCGCAGAGGAGCCACAGCUCGGAGCCGUCUCUGCAACACGCCGAUGCCUCACCUCGGUUUCAUCGUUUGGGACCAAAUGAAAAGUUUAAUUUACACGAAAGAAGACUCUUAAAACUCUAGCUGGUCACUGCAGCAGAGACCCUGAACGCACCGCCUCUUCAUUUGCACUCCACCCGGUUACACCGCUAAGUCAGAGACAUGCACUCUGGGGAGGGGGUUCAGACCCAAACCCAGUCCGGGGCAUCAGCUCGGUGGCUGGUUGCACAGCCGUUCCCCAGGCAACCACCGGUGGUCGUUAAGUGUAAUUUGUCUGGUCUCCCAGUGUUGAAAACGCACAAAGGAUGGCGAGGAAAGCCAGCGUGAGGCUG